rnacentral:rRNA from 1 species
UACAGGGGGUGCAAACGUUGCUCGGAAUUAUUAGGCGUAAAGCGCGCGUAGGCGGCUACUUAAGUCGGAUGUGAAAGCCCUUGGCUCAACUGAGGAAGUGCACCCGAAACUGAGUGGCUAGAGUACGAAAGAGGGUCGCGGAAUUCCCGGUGUAGAGGUGAAAUUCGUAGAUAUCGGGAGGAACACCGGUGGCGAAGGCGGCGACCUGGGUCGAUACUGACGCUGAUGCGCGAAAGCGUGGGGAGCAAACAGG